GAGAAGCAGCUGGGUCUGCGUCCGUGUACAGCUGAGUCCCACAGGAGGCCUGGUGGUCCGGAGCAGGGGGUGGGUCGACCUGAACCCCCUCCCCAGGACAGGAAGCAUGAGGGACAGCUGGAGUAUCUGCGUCAGCUGGAUGUGAUCAGACUGCAGUACCACCAGGAGAUGAGACGGAGGAGACCGAGAGCUGAAGCA